CCCAGAUGAAGAGUCCUCUCUGCCAUCACCCAGAGGAGCUGAUCAACGUCUGCUCAACUGAAGAAGGUGGACAGAGUCUGGUGCUUUGUGACAGUGAACAGUGAGAAGGCUACCAUAGUCAUCCACAGAUAAAACACAGAGAUCCUGGUCAAUAUUUAAUUUAUUUUUCUUUACAUGAUGUUGCCCUGUGUUUGAAAGGCCAGAUGCUGGAGGGUUGUGUUGGAUUUGCUUUUCCAUCAUAUUUUAACAGUCAAACAAUCAUCCAGGAUCUUUAUACUUCAUUUGAUUUUUGUUGGGAUUUCUUUGUUAAAUUAUUUUUUAUACUUUCUCCUAUGUCCCAGCAGUUCAACCUGUUGGUCUCCCUUACUUAUUUUCCACAUGUUUAAUGAAGCCAGGUGUUGUUUAUUGAAGUUUUUUUUUUCAUAAAAUGUUUAAAUAAACUUUUUUUAAAUCUGAA